AAAAAAAAAAAAUAAAACAAAACAAAGAAUAUCCUUACCGUUCAGGAUCAAUGUGUUAAAAUGAUGUCCUAAAACACUAUCAUUGUGAAUAGCAUGAAUGCAUCAUGAACACUCCGGUGUAUGCAAUUUAAUUCGAAUAAUUAUAUGUGCCGGCAAUUAGCUUCUCCAGGAAUCUUCAGUUCACAAGAAUAUGGUGAAUAAUUUUAUCAAAAAUGCAUGAGCUAUGUCAACCGCAAGCUUAACAACAAUAGCAACAAUGCAAUAACAACAAAAAUAAUAACGAUAACAAUAGUCGGUGGCAGCUGUUAUUAUUGA